GAGAAAUGAGGACAAUUCUUGAAGUCCUAUCUCAUGGUGAGGACUUUCAGAUCCAACUCUGAUCUCAUCUGUCUG